UCUUGCAAUAUGAACAAACAAGUAAGACAAAUAAAAACACAAGGAUUUAACAAGGUUCGGUAAUGUGCCUACGUCAUCGGAAGCGAUGAGCGGCUGUAUCUAUUAUUAUUUGAUAAUAAUCUGCUCCGUUCGCUCGUUGUGCUGCGCUUCACUCGCUCACCCCACUCCGUUCCAGCAUCUGUCCCUUAAACUGGUAUAUCAUCCAUACCUAAUAAAAUUCUAUAUCAAAUUAUUUAUAUAAUUAUUUUUAAUGAAAUUGAAGAGAGUUUUGGUAGGAAAACUAACCGCGAGACUUAGCUGCCACAUACACAACAAAUUUAUAAGAGAAAAAUUGACGGUGUGACAAUUGCUACUUUCUUGCUCUCAAGUGGCGUAUGAAGUUCACAUUGCUCCGAAGAACAAAGUGGCAGUACG
rnacentral:lncRNA from 1 species